rnacentral:lncRNA from 1 species
GUCAAUGAGAACCCCGAGAGAUUUAGACUUGUCCCCCCACAGCAGGAUGGCAUGGAGAGGGGUGCGAGUAAGGGGAGAAGAAAAAUUAUCUGUAUGGCCCAGCAGAGUACCUACUGAUGAGCCUGGUCUCUUUAAAGGACAGGUAGAACAUAAUGAUUGGCAGUUCCGCAACACAGACAACUCUGGGUGUUAAGUCUGUGUAAGCAUUCAGCUGGAGAUAGCCUAGCUCUGCCGAGUUGCAUCGGCUCCGAAAAAGGCGAGUCGGCAGACCUCCUCUCCCUCCUACAUUCCCGUAGCUGCCUAUCAAGCUGGAUGGUCAAGGCGAUGAGUGAAUCAAGAGCCGUAGGCAGCUCCCGGGCUGCAAACUCGUCCUUAAUCUCCUCUGAUAAUCCAUGAAGGAAUGUGUCGAACAGGGAUUCAGGUUCCAGGCACUCUCGGCAGCCAAUGUGCGGAAAUCAACCACAUAGUCUGUCACACUGUGGGAGUCCUGGCGAAGCUGGAGUAACUUCCGGGCAGCAUCUCUCUCGGACAACGGAGAAUCGAAAACCUUUUUCACCUCAGCCAUGAACUCCUCCAGGCUGAAACACGCGGCAGAUUGUUGUUCCCACAUCGCCGUAGCCCAGGUGGGAGCCCUCCCGGACAUUAGCGUUAUGAGACAGGCUAUCUUCGAGCAGUCCAAGGGGAAGGACGAGGGCUGCAGCUCGAAGAUGAGGGAACACUGGGAGAGAAAUGCCCAACAGGUUCCUGACCCUCCAGUGAAGCGUUCCGGAGGAGAUGUGAACAGCUGUCGUCCCACCUGUGCAUAGCUGCACAGAGGCCAAGCAGCAGUGGCAUAAGCCAAGGACUAUGGGUCUGAAACCUGGGCCCAUAGGCAAAAUGGCCAUCACCAAGCCCACCAAAAGCACAUGGCAAAAGGAGGGAUUAGGUGGUUUCAAGUACAUUGUUUAGAUUGGCUAACCACAGUGGCUGCUUUGCAGAAGUACACUACAGCGCCCUUCUUGGAACGCUCCCUGACUUCUCAGUUCUCCAGAUAGAAGAGACAUACAAUAACUUUAACCCUCUAUCCAAGCCAUUGAUCUGCAACAUGGGGAAGUCUGCUGAAAAGCUUUUAGUCGACUCCCACUUUGGAAAGGUACAGGUGGGGAACCUCCUGUCUUACCAGCAGCCUCCAAUCCCAACGUGACACAUAGUUCACCAUAAGGAGAGCCCACCAUUCCCCUCACUGCCCCUAAAUGGCUACGGACUGAGGAGAGAAACUUUCAAAGCUGCACAUUUGUGUUCAGUGAAGAAGACCAGCUUCACAUAGUCUCUUCGGGUGAGCUUCGCAACAGCCCAUAAAAUAGAGGAAGCUGCUAGAAAACAGAGUGCUGUCUCUGACUGGCAGGUGCUCUGGAAACCAAGACUGACCACGUCACGGUUCCGAGAGGCUUGCCAUGAGAGAGGGCUGACAUCCGCAGGCAAUCUAGCUGAAAGGAUCCUCUAAGACACAGCACCAAAACCUGACAUGAAGAGAGGACUGGAGUUGGAGAUGGAAGCAGCCAAUGACUACUUGAAGAUGC